rnacentral:rRNA from 1 species
GACAUGAGAUCAGGCCAGCAAACCCGCUGAAUUUAAGCAUAUAAGUAAGCGGAGGACAGAAAACUAAACAGGAUUCCUUCAGUAAUGGCGAAUGAACAGGGAAUAGCUCAGCGUGAGAAUCGGGGCUUCCAAGCCUUGACGUGUUGUCUGGAGAUGGACAUCCAACAUAGGUGCAGAUGAAAGUCUCUUGGAAGAGAGUGCCUGAGAGGGUGAGAGUCCCGUGCAACAUCUGUGUUCCUGUGUGUACGGGUGUCUUUGCUGAGAGUCAUGUUUCUCGGGAUUGAAGCGUAAAAUUGGUGGUAAAUUCCAUCUAAAGCUAAAUAUUUACUCGAGACCGAUAGAAGACAAGUACCAUGAGGGAAAGAUGAAAAGGACUUUGGAAAGAGAGCUAACAGUGCCUGAACUUGCUGAAAGGAAAGCGAAUGGAACCAAAGUGUUCUGCAAGAUUGCAGGGUAAAGAUCCUUCCCUUUGAUUCUCUCAGCGCAAGCGGGGGUGUUGGAGGUGUUGUUUCUUGAUCCUGUGCUGCUUGCUCUCAUUGUCAUUUUCAGUGCUUCUGUAGGAUAUCUGCUGUGUUGCUUGAACUCCAUUUGUGAAUGGAAUGAACUUCACAGUAGAGUCUACUGAGGUGCUGCAUUCCUGUGUUCAUAGCUCAGUAGAAGCCUUCUGGUCAGAACCUUUUACGGGUCCUUUACGAGGAGGUAGAUGCUUGCUUGAACAUGAUCCUGAGUGGCAAUGUGGUUCUAUUCUACCCGUCU